rnacentral:rRNA from 1 species
AACGAACGCUGGCGGCAUGCCUAACACAUGCAAGUCGAACGAGACCUUCGGGUCUCGUGGCGCACGGGUGCGUAACGCGUGGGAAUCUACCCUUGGGUUCGGAAUAACAGUCAGAAAUGACUGCUAAUACCGGAUGAUGCCGUAAGUCCAAAGAUUUAUCGCCCAAGGAUGGGCCCGCGUAAGAUUAGCUUGUUGGUGGGGUAAUGGCCUACCAAGGCGACGAUCUUUAGCUGGUCUGAGAGGAUGAUCAGCCACACUGGGACUGAGACACGGCCCAGACUCCUACGGGAGGCAGCAGUGGGGAAUAUUGGACAAUGGGCGAAAGCCUGAUCCAGCAAUGCCGCGUGAGUGAUGAAGGCCUUAGGGUUGUAAAGCUCUUUUACCAGGGAUGAUAAUGACAGUACCUGGAGAAUAAGCUCCGGCUAACUCCGUGCCAGCCGCCGCCGUAA